GACGAACGCUGGCGGCGUGCUUAACACAUGCAAGUCGAACGGUGAAGCGCCUUCCUUUUUGGUGGGUGUGGAUGAGUGGCGAACGGGUGAGUAACACGUGAGUAACCUGCCCCCUUCUUCUGGAUAACCGCAUGAAAGUGUGGCUAAUACGGGAUAUUCUGGGUCUGUCGCAUGAUGGGUCUGGGAAAGAUAUUGUUUCGGUGGGGGAUGGGCUCGCGGCCUAUCAGCUUGUUGGUGGGGUGAUGGCCUACCAAGGCGGUGACGGGUAGCCGGCCUGAGAGGGUGGACGGUCACACUGGGACUGAGGCACGGCCCAGACUCCUACGGGAGGCAGCAGUGGGGAAUAUUGCACGAUGGGCGCGAGCCUGAUGCAGCGACGCCGCGUGAGGGAUGGAGGCCUUCGGGUUGUGAACCUCUUUCGCCAGUGAAGCAGGCCUGCCUCGUUUGUGGGUGGGUUGACGGUAGCUGGAUAAGAAGCGCCGGCUAACUACGUG
rnacentral:rRNA from 1 species